CGCACGGGUAGCAUUUAUACAUAUAAAACAUCUAAGCAAACAUAGACAUAUGAACAGACGUGGGAAAGCGACAUUGCUUUAUACUAUGUAGUCGAUAGGACUAAUAUAUCGAUUAUCGACUACGUAUGUACCACUACCAAAACGAACUGUGACGAUGUUGAAGUUGACGUUUGGAUAUUAGUGUCUUGUCUUGUUUUGUUUGUGAAGGUUUAUUCUAUAUUAUUUUCCAUAUUUUUUUUUAAUUUUGAACGUGGUUUGAUAAAAUGAAGCUAUUUUUAUAAGUUCCUAUCAUUUAAUUGAUAUUUCGAGAUUUUCAUAGUUAAUAAGGUAGGUUAGGUGUGUGUUUCUAUUUCGAGAAAAACUAAUCCAGGAAUAUACAACUAAAAUGGGACCGCCAAAGAAAUUUAAAAAAUAUGACUCGAAACCAGGAAGUGAUAGAUCAAGUAAAAAGAAAAAAGUUGAAGAUGAUAAUAUGACAAUAGAUUUGGUUGAAGAUGAUAACACAGAGAAUGUUGGAGUGCCAGGGGCAGCCAUGCAAGAUGCUGAAAAAAAUGAUCAACAAGUCCCUGAAGAUGAAUUUGGAGCUAAAGAUUAUAGGAAUCAGAUGACACUAAAGCCUGACAAUGCGAGCCGGCCUCUCUGGGUGGCUCCAAAUGGCCAUAUUUUUUUGGAAGCCUUCUCACCAGUCUACAAACACGCACAUGACUUCCUAAUUGCUAUUUCUGAACCAGUCUGCAGGCCACAACAUAUUCAUGAGUACAAGCUGACUGCAUACAGUUUAUAUGCGGCGGUGUCUGUGGGCCUCCAAACUGCAGACAUCAUUGAAUAUCUCCAAAGGUUGAGCAAGUGCGCCGUGCCCGCAGGAAUCAUAGAGUUCAUAACAUUGUGCACAUUGUCUUACGGAAAAGUGAAGCUUGUUCUUAAACACAACAGAUAUUUAGUAGAAAGCAAACAUGUAGAGGUGCUUCAAAAAUUGCUGAAAGAUCCGGUGAUACAACAAUGUCGGCUGCGGCGAGACGGAGACGACGAUCUGUUGGCGUCCGCGCUUCCUAACAAACCUGCCACAACCGCAACUAAAACUAGCGAGGACAAGCCAGCAGCCGCGAACGGUAGCGUCCCCGACGACAUCAGCCAGUUCUACCAGCAGCUGGACAAGGACGACGACGAGGACGAGGUCACCGACAUCUCGUCCAACACCGCCGUGGCCUUCGAAGUUGACCCCGACAAGAUUGAGGUGAUACAAAAACGAUGUAUCGAGUUAGAGCAUCCUCUCCUGGCCGAGUACGAUUUCCGCAAUGACUCGGUGAACCCCGACAUAAACAUUGACCUGAAGCCUACGGCGGUGCUACGGCCCUACCAGGAAAAGAGCUUGAGAAAAAUGUUCGGCAACGGACGUGCGAGGUCCGGUGUGAUAGUGUUGCCGUGCGGCGCGGGCAAGUCUCUGGUCGGCGUGACGGCCGUGUGCACGGUGCGGAAGCGAGCGCUCGUGCUGUGCAACUCCGGCGUCUCCGUGGAACAGUGGAAGCAGCAGUUCAAGUGCUGGUCCACCGCCGAUGACAGCUGCAUCUGCCGGUUCACAUCAGAAGCGAAAGACAAGCCAAUGGGCGCGGGCAUCCUCAUCACCACUUACUCCAUGAUCACUCACGGGCAGCGGCGCUCGUGGGAGGCCGAGCAGACCAUGAAGUGGCUGCAGGCGCAGGAGUGGGGGCUGGUGGUGCUGGACGAGGUGCACACGAUCCCCGCCAAGAUGUUCCGCCGGGUGCUCACCAUCGUGCACUCGCACGCCAAGCUGGGUUUAACAGCCACACUGCUGCGCGAAGACGACAAGAUAGCGGACCUGAACUUCCUGAUCGGGCCCAAGCUGUACGAGGCCAACUGGCUGGAGCUGGAGCGCGCCGGCUACAUCGCGCGCGUGCAGUGCGCCGAGGUGUGGAGCCCCAUGACGCCCGAGUUCUACCGGGAGUACCUCAUACAGAAAAUAAACAAAAAAAUGUUGUUAUACGUGAUGAACCCGUCCAAAUUCCGCGCGUGCCAAUUCCUAGUGCGCUACCACGAGAAACGGGGAGACAAAACUAUAGUUUUCUCCGACAACGUGUUCGCGUUACGACAUUACGCCGUCAAGAUGAACAAACCCUAUAUUUAUGGACCCACGUCGCAAAACGAGAGAAUACAAAUCUUGCAAAACUUCAAGUUCAAUCCGAAAGUGAACACGAUAUUUGUCAGCAAAGUCGCGGACACGAGCUUCGAUUUGCCAGAAGCGAAUGUCUUGAUACAGAUCUCGUCGCAUGGCGGCUCGAGAAGGCAGGAGGCGCAACGGUUGGGUCGUAUUUUGCGUGCGAAGAAAGGCGCCCUAGCAGAAGAGUACAACGCUUUCUUCUAUACGCUCGUAUCCCAAGACACUCUCGAGAUGGCCUACAGCAGGAAAAGACAGCGUUUCUUGGUCAACCAGGGGUACAGUUAUAAAGUUAUUACAGAACUGAAAGGCAUGGAUCAAGAACCAGAUUUAUUUUAUGGUACUCGUGAGGAGCAAGGAAUGUUGCUGCAGCAAGUGCUGGCGGCAUCGGAGACGGAGUGCGAGGACGAGCGCGAGCCGGGCGCGGGCGGCGCGGGCGGCGCGCGGCGCGGCGCGGGCGCGCUGUCGUCGCUGGCGGGCGCCGACGACGCGCUCUACUUGGAGCACCGCCGCAACGCGCAGCACAACAAGCAUCCGCUCUUCAAGAAGUUCCGAUACUAACUGGCUGGUUGCGGUGCGCGGUGAUGAUGAGUUCAAAAAAAGAAUGUAAUUCGUCAUUUUGAAAUACUCAAGCGCGUCAAAUUAAGAUAUAGUAAAACUACGGACGAGAAUGGUAUACCGGAGUGGGCGAUAGUAGAGCUUCAAGGCCUCAUCCAGUUGAAGAAGGAGAACCCGUCG
rnacentral:misc_RNA from 1 species